AAUGAACGCUAGUAGUAUGCUUAACACAUGCAAGUCGAACGAAAGUUUUACACUUUCGUGGCGUACGGGUGAGUAAAUGCAGAAUUCUUCCUUCCAGUUCAGUACAAAAUUGCUUCUGGUAAUAAAUUCUGAAUAUUUUUAAAGGUUUAUUCCGCUGAAAGAUGAAUCUGCUUAAGAUUAGGUUGUUGGUAAUUUAAAAGCUUACCAAGCCGAUGAUCUUUAGUUGGUCUGAGAGGAUGAUCAACCACACUGGAACUGAAACAAGGUCCAGGCUAAUUCGUUGGCCAGCAGUGAGGAAUAUUGGAGUCAAUGAACGAAAGUUUGAUCCAGC
rnacentral:rRNA from 1 species